GACGAACGCUGGCGGCGUGCUUAACACAUGCAAGUCGAACGGAAAGGCCCUGCUUUUGUGGGGUGCUCGAGUGGCGAACGGGUGAGUAACACGUGAGUAACCUGCCCUUGACUUUGGGAUAACUUCAGGAAACUGGGGCUAAUACCGGAUAGGAGCUCCUGCUGCAUGGUGGGGGCUGGAAAGUUUCGGCGGUUGGGGAUGGACUCGCGGCUUAUCAGCUUGUUGGUGGGGUAGUGGCUUACCAAGGCUUUGACGGGUAGCCGGCCUGAGAGGGUGACCGGCCACAUUGGGACUGAGAUACGGCCCAGACUCCUACGGGAGGCAGCAGUGGGGAAUAUUGCACAAUGGGCGGAAGCCUGAUGCAGCAACGCCGCGUGCGGGAUGACGGCCUUCGGGUUGUAAACCGCUUUCGCCUGUGACGAAGCGUGAGUGACGGUAAUCGGUAAAGAAGCACCGGCUAACUACGUG
rnacentral:rRNA from 1 species